rnacentral:tRNA from 1 species
UAGCUCAAAGGUUAAGAGCACUGGCUGCUCUUCCAGAGAUCCUGAGUUCAAUUCUCAG